rnacentral:rRNA from 1 species
CCUACGGGUGGCAGCAGUGAGGAAUAUUGGUCAAUGGGCGCGAGCCUGAACCAGCCAAGUCGCGUGAGGGAAGACGGUCCUAUGGAUUGUAAACCUCUUUUGUCGGGGAGCAAAAGACGCCACGCGUGGCCUUCCGAGAGUACCCGACGAAAAAGCAUCGGCUAACUCCGUGCCAGCAGCCGCGGUAAUACGGAGGAUGCGAGCGUUAUCCGGAUUUAUUGGGUUUAAAGGGUGCGCAGGCGGACGAUCAAGUCAGCGGUAAAAUUGCGAUGCUCAAACCCUUCGAGCCGUUGAUACUGGUGGUCGUGAGUGAGCGAGAAGUAUGCGGAAUGCGUGGUGUAGCGGUGAAAUGCAUAGAUAUCACGCAGAACUCCGAUUGCGAAGGCAGCAUACCGGCGCUCAACUGACGCUCAUGCACGAAAGUGUGGGUAUCGAACAGGAUUAGAUACCCGGGUAGUC